AUUGAACGCUGGCGGCAGGCCUAACACAUGCAAGUCGAGCGGUAACACAGGGAGCUUGCUCCUGGGUGACGAGCGGCGGACGGGUGAGUAAUGUCUGGGAAACUGCCUGAUGGAGGGGGAUAACUACUGGAAACGGUAGCUAAUACCGCAUAACGUCGCAAGACCAAGGAGGGGGACCUUCGGGCCUCUUGCCAUCAGAUGUGCCCAGAUGGGAUUAGCUAGUAGGUGGGGUAACGGCUCACCUAGGCGACGAUCCCUAGCUGGUCUGAGAGGAUGACCAGCCACACUGGAACUGAGACACGGUCCAGACUCAUACGGGAGGUAGCAGUGGGGAAUAUUGCACAAUGGGCGCAAGCCUGAUGCAGCCAUGCCGCGUGUAUGAAGAAGGCCUUCGGGUUGUAAAGUACUUUCAGCGGGGAGGAAGGCGAUAAGGUUAAUAACCUUGUCGAUUGACGUUACCCGCAGAAGAAGCACCGGCUAACUCCGUGCCAGCCGCCGCGGUAACAC
rnacentral:rRNA from 1 species